CGCCCAUUGGUCGCGGUGUCCGGUCCACAGGUUCCUCUCCACCCCCUGCGCCUCGGGCGCCCCGCCCCCUUUGCGGGCUUCUGGUCUCAAACCCAGGUUGACCCAGCGCUCUCUCCCAUUGGUCCGCUACGGCUCCAACCAUUGGCCCGCGGCACCUGUCCAUUUCCUGGGAGAGCGCGGCACCUCCCGGCGGGAGAAGGCUCCGCCUCAUUGGGCGCGCUGGAGGGAAGGUCGCUCCUGGGAGGUAAUACCGAGCUUUCAUUCAGAUCCGAAAGGUCGGAGCGGAGACCACCCCUUUUGUUUGCUCUCCUUUUUCAGUUGAUUCUGAAAUCAGAAUCCUCUUGGAUCCGACUGCACUGGUUCAACCUGGAGGAUCAGCUUCUGCCCCCCAUGCUCCCGCCCCGGGGCCUUCCACCCCCUAUUGGAGCCUCUGAGGUCAGGCCCGUUCCAGUGCUUAUUCCAAGGGCUCUUGGGGCUACACGCCUCGCAUUUACGAAGUCUGCGCAGCUCGCCCUCUCCCCAAUUCCUGCAGGAGAAAAAUUCCAAUGCCAUCGUCGUUUUAGAAUCUAGAAAGGCCGGAGUCCGCCUUCCUGAGGCUUCCCGCUGAGACAAGGAAAGCUGUCUUGAAGUGGGCUUGCUUUCCCUGAAGAGAAUCAACUUUUCUACAAUCCCUGGGUGUCUCUCGCCUGGAAUUGCACCUCGGUCAUGGUGGUGACGUCUGCUGAGCUCAGAGCAAAAACCAAACUCAGGACACUUUAACAUUAAGAAAGAAGAACAUACGGGGCCCCUAGUGUUCUCUGCUUUAAUCCUAUUGUAGCAAAGUCAACUUCCACUAAGAAGAGUUCUCUGUUAUUUCAAACAAGCCAGCGUUUAAGGAUCUCGCCUGAUAGCCACUAAACUGUGCUACCUUCUCCUCUUCGGAACAGGAAUAAAGAAGAUUUAUUUACCAAGAGUUAGUGUUUCUCUAACUAUUUGCUUGUUUAAUUUUUUGUUGGGAUUCAUUAUUAGACAAACGAGCAAUGUGGGGAAAAAAAUAAAAUAAAACCAGGCGGGAGAGCUGGGGCAAGUGCUUAGCACUGGCCUGCAGCCUGCUCAUCCUGAAAGUAGAGGCAAGACUGCAAGAUUGGUGUGGUUUGCCGGUGAAUAUGGCUGCGCUGAACCCUGGGCAUCCGCGUAUUUAAGGUCAUAAAAAAGACAAGUGAAAUGAUACUGUUCAAAAGAGCAGCCAGCCAGGCCAUGUAGCACGCUUGUGAUUCCGGCUACUCAGAAGGCUGAAGCAGGAGGAUCGCAAGAGCAAUGUGAGCAAUCUAGUGACUGAGCAAGACUAUCUCAAAAUAAAAAGGCCGAGUAGCCCGUGUGGUGGUGCACACUUGUAAUCCCAGCACUCUGGGAGACUGAAGCAUGAAAAUAACAAGUUUGACCCCAGCAUAGGCGAUUAAGCAAUUUAGGAAGACCUUGUCUCAAAAAAUUAAAAAGGGUUGCGGACGUAGCUCAAUGCAAAGCCCUGGGUUCAAUCCCCAGUAACACACAUGCACACUCUCACUAAAGCACAUCCAGAGUAAGUCUUGAGAAAGGAUUCCUGAAGAAAAACAAUAUUCAAGUUCUUACUGUAUGUAGAAAAAUGGAUGAUUCUGAGAAAAUUCUCUAGUUUUUGGUUAAGAGAAAACCAUUCCUCCUCCAAGCAGAAUGCCAGAGAGUAGGUACUUCAUGUCUUAAAAAGACCUUAAGAAAAAAGUUUUUCUUGAUAAAAUUUUAAUUUGAGGGAAAAAGGAGUUUUACAAAGUGGAUGUAGAUAUCCAAAGAAAAAGGAAACACCAGAAAGAAAUGUCUGUAGUGGGUCUCUUCAAGUAGUAGGAUUAUGAGUAAGUGGGUGGCUUCCGCUGUCAUUUUGCUUAUCUGUAAUUUUUUUAAUGUUCUGCUCUAGUUUUGUGUGGAUUCCUUCCUCCCUGGGAAAGGGNNNNNNNNNNNNNNNNNNNNNNNNNNNNNNNNNNNNNNNNAAAGAGAAAAACAAUCCUUG
rnacentral:lncRNA from 1 species